GGGUGUGAGGGUGAUCUGGCUGUGACAUCUGUUACCCCAUUGAUUCCCAGGGCUGUUUCGGUUGAUCUGGGUGGCUAGGCAGGUGUUCCCUUCCUCCCUCAUCACUCUAUGUGUACCCUCCCGAAGCUGAGCGCUGUCACCCCUGACAGAAGAAGACCGUUUCCUUGGUCAAGGGUAUACAAGUAGCUGCGUUCCCCUGCCAGAUCCUCCAAACAAGAGGAAACUUUAAUGAUUUAGGAUAGCUGGAUUUAUUUUGGGCUAUACAGCUCUGGUGAAGUGAUUACAAUAUUUUUCUGAUUUUGAAACAUUCUGUGUUGGUUCUAAAUACUUAAAAGUUCAGUCCGAA
ensembl:misc_RNA 7SK 7SK RNA